AUACUACUCUCUUCGUCUCAAAAUUCUUGUUUUAGAUUUGUCUACAUAUGGAUGUAUUUAUUUACAUUUUAGUGUUAGAUACAUCUGUAUUUAGAUAAAUCUAAGACAAGAAUUUUGGGACGAAGGAAGUACGUA
rfam:Triticum aestivum genome assembly, contig: Triticum_aestivum_CS42_TGACv1_scaffold_030532_1BL